rnacentral:lncRNA from 1 species
UUUUAUGAUUUUAUAUGCAGUGACAGGACCAAAAAGCUGAAUUUUAUGUAUUUUAGAAUUGAAUUAGAUUAUUAUUAUUAUUGUAUUACAAAUGAAAUAAUUUGGACCGUCUGUGUCGGUUUCAAUAGAUCUUUUCCUCUCUAAUCCCAAAUCUUUGAUUUUUCUCUAAAUUAAGAAAAAGGUAUUGGCAGUUAGCUACUCGUUUUCUUUCAACUGUUAUCUGAAGCCGCCCGAUUAUUAUACCACUGUAUAUAUUAUUUAAUAAGUAGUGAUCCUUGUUACAUAAAAAAAGUAGUGAUCCCAGUAUUAACAUCUUAGUUACACAGAAAUAAAAAAACUAUAGAACAAUCCAAUGCUCGUGACGGUUUGGAUUUCAUAUUUGUGACAUGUUAUUUUAUAACCAUAUUAAGCUUUGA